rnacentral:misc_RNA from 1 species
GAUGAAGAACGCAGCGAAAUGCGAUACGUAAUGUGAAUUGCAAAUUCAGUGAAUCAUCGAGUCUUUGAACGCACAUUGCGCCCCCUGGUAUUCCGCGGGGCAUGCCUGUCCGAGCGUCAUUGCUGCCCUCAAGCACGGCUUGUGUGUUGGGCCCCGUCCUCCGAUCCCGGGGGACGGGCCCGAAAGGCAGCGGCGGCACCGCGUCCGGUCCUCGAGCGUAUGGGGCUUUGUCACCCGCUCUGUAGGCCCGGCCGGCGCUUGCCGAUCAACCCAAAUUUUUAUCCAGGUUGACCUCGGAUCAGGUAGGGAUACCCGCUGAACUUAAGCAUAUCAAUAAGCGGAGGA